rnacentral:rRNA from 1 species
UACGUAGGGUGCGAGCGUUGUCCGGAAUUACUGGGCGUAAAGAGCUCGUAGGUGGUUUGUCGCGUUGUCCCGUGAAAACUCACAGCUUAACUGUGGGCGUGCGGGCGAUACGGGCAGACUGGAGUACUGCAGGGGAGACUGGAAUUCCUGGUGUAGCGGUGGAAUGCGCAGACUAUCAGGAGGAACACCGGUGGCGAAGGCGGGUCUCUGGGCAGUAACUGACGCUGAGGAGCGAAAGCUAGGGGGAGCAAACGGG